rnacentral:rRNA from 1 species
GAAUCUUCCACAAUGGACGAAAGUCUGAUGGAGCAAUGUCGCGUGAGUGAAGAAGGUUUUCGGAUCGUAAAACUCUGUUGUGAGGGAAGAACAAGUACGAGAGUAACCGCUCGUACCUUGACGGUACCCCAUUAGAAAGCCACGGCUAACUCCGUGCCAGCCGCCGCGGUAAGACGGAGGUUGCAAGCGUUGUCCGGAAUUAUUGGGCGUAAAGCGCGCGCAGGCGGUCCUUUAAGUCUGAUGUGAAAUCCCACGGCUCAACCGUGGAAGGUCAUUGGAAACUGGGGGACUUGAGUACAGAAGAGGAAAGUGGAAUUCCAAGUGUAGCGGUGAAAUGCGUAGAGAUUUGGAGGAACACCAGUGGCGAAGGCGACUUUCUGGUCUGUAACUGCCGCUGAGGCGCGAAAGCGUGGGGAGCAAACA